UACAGAGGUCCCAAGCGUUGUUCGGACUCACUGGGCGUAAAGGGUGCGUAGGUGGUAAGGCAAGUCGGAUGUGAAAUCUCCGGGCUUAACCCGGAAAUGGCAUUGGAAACUGCCUUGCUAGAGGAUUUGAGGGGGGACUGGAAUACUUGGUGUAGCAGUGAAAUGCGUAGAUAUCAAGUGGAACACCAGUGGCGAAGGCGAGUCCCUGGAAAAUACCUGACACUGAGGCACGAAAGCUAGGGGAGCAAACAGG
rnacentral:rRNA from 1 species